GACGAACGCUGGCGGCGUGCUUAACACAUGCAAGUCGAACGGAAAGGCCCUGCUUGCCGGGUACUCGAGUGGCGAACGGGUGAGUAACACGUGGGUGAUCUGCCCUGCACUUCGGGAUAAGCCUGGGAAACUGGGUCUAAUACCGGAUAUGACCUUCCAUGUGGUGUGGGGGGUGGAACGAUUUAUGGGUGUGGGAGGAGCCCGCGGCCUAUCGGCUUGUUGGGGGGGUAAUGGCCUACCAAGGCGACGACGGGUAGCCGGCCUGAGAGGGUGGACAGCCACACGGGGCAUGGGACACGGACAAGAGUACGAAGGGAGGGAGCAGUGGGGAAUUGGGGACAAUGGGCGGAAGGCUGAUACAGCAAUGCCGCGUGUGUGAAGAAGGCCUUAGGGUUGGAAAGCAGUGUUGUGCGGAAAGAAAUCCUUGGCCCGAAUACGGUAGGGGGAUGACGGUACCGGAAGAAUAAGCACAGGCUAACUACGUG
rnacentral:rRNA from 1 species